rnacentral:lncRNA from 1 species
UUUUAGACAAAGUCGGUCAGCCCUCUAACACAGCUCUCUCUACGCCAUCAGAUCUCCAGCUCUCGAAGAGGAAAAACCUAGAAGCCUACCGGACACCUUAACUUAUUCGAAAAUAACUUAGUCGCGAUUUUGAUUUUUUCUUUCGGGACUUAGUCUCAAUCUCUAUUAAGAGAGCUGUAUCAACAUUAACACUUUAAUAAAGUGCUACCAUCCAGCAACCUCUGACUCUUUGGCCAUUCUCUGCGCUGCCUUGCCACUUCUUCAGGUUCUCACCGAGGUCGAGCAACCCAGGGAAGGAGCAGCGGUGCCUGUAUUCAUCCAUUGAUCCCGUCAUCCGGUACCUUUCUACGCAUCAUCAUGGUUAACCCCCGCCGAACUUCUUCCGUUGGACGCGAAAUUCCCCUCCGUGCCGCGGGUAUACGCCGCAGGCGUGCCUCCCGGUCGGUACUUAGGCUCCCUACAGCUCGUCAGUUGUUUGCCGACGAGAACGACUUAACAAGCAGAGUAACAAGGUACUCUCCAGUGCGUAGUUUCGCGCCCUCCCGCGCAUACCCUUAUCGUCCUCCCCGAAACCCUCCAGCGGUUCUUCAAGAGGAACAACAGC